rnacentral:rRNA from 1 species
GAUGUUCUAACGUUGGCCCCUAAUCGGGGUUGCGGACAGUGUCUGGUGGGUAGUUUGACUGGGGCGGUCUCCUCCUAAAGAGUAACGGAGGAGCACGAAGGUUGGCUAAUCCUGGUCGGACAUCAGGAGGUUAGUGCAAUGGCAUAAGCCAGCUUGACUGCGAGCGUGACGGCGCGAGCAGGUGCGAAAGCAGGUCAUAGUGAUCCGGUGGUUCUGAAUGGAAGGGCCAUCGCUCAACGGAUAAAAGGUACUCCGGGGAUAACAGGCUGAUACCGCCCAAGAGUUCAUAUCGACGGCGGUGUUUGGCACCUCGAUGUCGGCUCAUCACAUCCUGGGGCUGAAGUAGGUCCCAAGGGUAUGGCUGUUCGCCAUUUAAAGUGGUACGCGAGCUGGGUUUAGAACGUCGUGAGACAGUUCGGUCCCUAUCUGCCGUGGGCGCUGGAGAACUGAGGGGGGCUGCUCCUAGUACGAGAGGACCGGAGUGGACGCAUCACUGGUGUUCGGGUUGUCAUGCCAAUGGCACUGCCCGGUAGCUAAAUGCGGAAGAGAUAAGUGCUGAAAGCAUCUAAGCACGAAACUUGCCCCGAGAUGAGUUCUCCCUGACUCCUUGAGAGUCCUGAAGGAACGUUGAAGACGACGACGUUGAUAGGCCGGGUGUGUAAGCGCAGCGAUGCGUUGAGCUAACCGGUACUAAUGAACCGUGAGGCUUAACCUU